UACGAAGGGGGCUAGCGUUGCUCGGAAUCACUGGGCGUAAAGGGUGCGUAGGCGGGUCUUUAAGUCAGGGGUGAAAUCCUGGAGCUCAACUCCAGAACUGCCUUUGAUACUGAGGAUCUUGAGUUCGGGAGAGGUGAGUGGAACUGCGAGUGUAGAGGUGAAAUUCGUAGAUAUCAGGAAGAACACCCGUGGCGAAGGCGGCUCUCUGGGACGGUACUGACGCUGAGACGCGAAAGCGUGGGGAGCAAACAGG
rnacentral:rRNA from 1 species